rnacentral:lncRNA from 1 species
GGGAGUCUUCCAAGGUUAGCAGGCUUCUGAGCUUCUGGGGGAAGGAGAAAAGGAGAACUAGGUCACGCUUGCUGCGCCUGGUUGCCUGGAAUUGUUCUCCUAGUUGUGCUCAGGGAAAAGGACAACUUGGCUUCAGUCUACUGGAAUGCACAUCAGCUGGGAGUGU